rnacentral:rRNA from 1 species
UACGGAGGGUGCGAGCGUUAAUCGGAAUUACUGGGCGUAAAGGGUGCGUAGGUGGUUGAUUAAGUUAUCUGUGAAAUUCCUGGGCUUAACCUAGGCGUGUCAGAUGAUACUGGUUGACUCGAGUACGGGAGAGGGUAGUGGAAUUUCCGGUGUAGCGGUGAAAUGCGUAGAGAUCGGAAGGAACACCGGUGGCGAAGGCGGCUACCUGGCCUGAUACUGACACUGAGGCACGAAAGCGUGGGGAGCAAACAGG